AAAGAGACUAGAAGUUGGUCCGCGGUGUCCCGGGAGCCUGGGAGCCGCCUCAGCCCGCCCGGAGGGAAGGAGGGAAACACCGUCGGAGCCGACCGCGGCCUGGAGAGGGCCGGAGAGCCGGAGGCCAGGGGCCCGCGACGAGUAGGGGUGGAGGGGAGGAAAGCGGGGAGAUCGCGCGAGGAGGAAGCAGCCGAACCUCGGGCGGGCGCUGCGCAUGGAGAACGGCCGCGGCGGAGGGUGCUCCCAGGCGCGGAGAGAAGCCGAGGGCGCCAGCGGGCGAGCGCGAGUCCGGGGUCUGCGCCGCGCUGCUGGUGAAUAAAAAGGAGAGAGGAGGCGCCUCUUACUGCUCUGCCGGAAAACUGCAGCCUGGGCUCCUGAUUGGACUCACCGAGCCCUAAACAAACAGCGCUCGCCGAAGGGUGCCAGGCUGUGGGUCGGAACUGCGCUCAGCGAGCAGCUGGGCGCUGGAGUUGUGUGAGACCGACCUUAAACUUUCUCCGACCCUAUCUCGGGAUGCUACGGCUCAGGUCGUGGUGGUUUCGGGAACCUCAAGACAACAUUCCCCAGCUGACCUUUGGGAACUUUAACUCGGGUCGUCAUGUACGGAAAGGUAGUCUAUGGGGUACGCAGAAUGGAAAAGGGCUUCCACAUCAGUCGUGUCCGAGGACGCUCUCCAACUUUUGAUGUCCCUGGAGAGUUUCUGAUAUUUCCCUGGAGAGUUUCAGUUUCAGCGUGGCCGCAUUUGGAAAAGGCUGAAGGUAGAAAACUCUGGAAUGGAGAGGCUGGCGACUGGAG
rnacentral:lncRNA from 1 species